GCUGUGUUUACAUUUCUGUAGCAAAAGACAAAGAUAAAAACAGAGGCAGUGAUGGAAGAGCAGUCAUGAAAAAUAUUGAACCUAAAAGUCUCAAUUCCAUGUAGUUGGACAUGAGGCCGAAACAAGAUCAAGAAUCUGCAGACAUGCUUGCAGCUUUGUCAUUAGAAACCUAGAAAUGUGUCAACAGCACACUCACAAUGUCAACAAAACUAUUUUCACAGGCCGAUAGUUUUCAGCUUUCUGCAUGGUAGUUUUAGAAUAUUGGGUAGUAAAAUCUGUCGAUCACCGUGAAAAGCAAAGCAGAGCUGGGACUGAUGGGAUUGUACCACCAGGAUCUCUUCAUCCCCAGACUUUCCGUUAAGUUACAUUACUGGAGAAAUGUACAAUAUGAAAAGCAUACAACAUCAAUGUCCAGAUUUAGGUCUUAAUGGCAGCAGGGUCAAUUCAGACCACCAACACUUUCUAGUUUCUCCUAGGGGAUCAGAUGUUGAUACCAGUCCAGGAAAGAUCUGUAAUUCUGCCACUGAAUUCUGGAUUUGACCUCAACGACCCGGGCAAUUUGUUGUGCAGCAGUUACACAAGCGUUCACCAUCAAACAACAAAAGCAACAAAACAGUAAAACAGUUAAAGAAAUAGAAACGAUUAAAGGAAAUGUUUUACAAAUGUAAAAAACACAGUAAAACAAUUACAAGCAAAAUAAAAGCCAUUUAAAGAAAAAUCAAACAAAACAUAAGAUAUCAAGAAAGGGAUUCUGUGGAAAGGCUAACAUGAGACAGUUUUUAGUCUCAGCAUGUUUAGCCCUAAAAUCAUGGGAGUCAAACCUGACAUAAAAACUGUUUAGACUUGGAGCCAGCUCUAAAUCAGAAUUAUAACCACUGAGCUGAACUCUCUCAUUGACACAUUAAUUGGUUCCAGUGAUCAGAUUCAUGCCGUCCCAGACUGAACUGAGGUUGUUCAUUUUGAGCUGAGACUCAAGUUUGUCUUUGUAUUGUCUUUUGUGGGUCCUGAUCUCCUACUUUAUUUCCUUCUGUCGGUUCUACAGAUUUAGUUCAUUUCCUUCUCUGAAGACUGUUUUCUUUCUGUACAGUAGGUCUUUAAGCUUCUUAGAAAACCAUGGCUUCGUGUUUGGAUAUAGUUUCAUUUUUUUCAGGAAUAACAUUGGUUUCACAGUCUGUGACCCAGCUGGUCACAACAUCAGUCGGUUUAUCAAUAUCAGCUGAGGACUCCUUAAACACGUCCCAGUCAGUAACCUCCAGACAUCCCCGCAGAGUGUGACAAACUCUCACUCUGAUGUUCUGCACUUUGCCUUGCUUCAGUACAGUGGUAGACAGGGAUAAGGAGGAUGCAGUUGUGGUCAGAGGAACCCAGAGGAGAAGCACCUUUCACAUUGUUCUAACAGAUCAAAGAUUUUGUCUCAUCUCGUGGGGCAUGUGAUGUACUGAUGGAAGUCUCUCAGUGUGUGUUUUAGUGUGCAGUGGUCUCUGGAUGACCUGAUGGAUAAGCCCACAGGCAUUUAUUUCACUGGCCUUUGGAUGGAUAUAGACAAGUUUCACAAAUAUCUAGCGAAACUUCUGAGGCAGAUAUGGAGGGCACAGUGAAACAGAAAGCAGUUCUAAGUCAGUAGUGCAGAGUUUCUCCAGGACAGGGUCAGAUUUGCACCAGCACUGUCCUUGUCCAUUUGGAAGACCCACUUGAGCCCAAGCUUUCAUUUGCUGGCUGAUGUUGCUUCAAUAAUUCCACAUAAUCUUCUAUCCUCUUGAUGGCAUCUAUUUUGUGAAGUGCACCAGUCCCUCCUGCAGCAAAAACACUCCCACAACAUGGUGCUGCCACCCCCAUGCUUCACAGUUGGGAUGGUGUACUCAGGCCAUCCUCAGCCAGCAUCUUCACAAGGUCGUUUGCUUUUGUUCUGGGAUUGAUGAGCACAUUUCCCUCCAAAACAAUCCUAACCUUAACCAAUCUCCAUCUUGAGCAGUUGGAUGGCUUGACAUUCCCAUGGUGUUGAUCUGUGCAUGUAAUUGUUUGGACAGAUAAACCUCAAACCACAGCAAUCUGGAAACUGCACCCAAGGAUGAACCACACCUGUGGAGGCCCACAAAUGUCUUCCUGAUGUCUUGGCUGAUUUCUUUAGAUUUUCUAAUGUCGUCACACAAGGAAGCAGUGUGUUUGAGGUGUGCCUGAAAAUACAUCUUAAUCUAUCAAAAGCUUUCAAAGUCAGGACAUCAUUAUCUUUAAGGCAUAGCAAUCUUAGUGUGUGCAAACUUCUGAUUGUAGAAUAGAAUAGAAUUACUUCAUUGAUCCCCGAAGGGAAAUUCAAUUGUUUGGUCUUAUCUUUUUGCUUUUGAAUUAAACAGUCCGAUUGCUGAUGGCAAGAAAGAUUUCCUGAAUCUUUCUGUCCUGCAGCAGGGAUAGGAGCCGUCCACCGAUGUUUUGUUGUUCACUGAGCCAAAUGUGAAGUGGAUGAUCCAUGUUUGUCAGAAUGGCCUCCAUCUUGUUCAGUUCCCCCUCUCUCCACCUCAUCCUCCAGUGUGUUCAAUCCGAUUCCAACUACAGAGCCAAUAAGUUUGUUCAGACGCCUUGCAUCCUGAGAGGGGUCUGGCUGCAGACCUCCACUCUCAGGACUCUUCCUUGCACACCUGCACUGUAAAGUCUCCUCCACUCUCAGGACCGGAAGUUUAUUCGAAGCCUUUCAAAAUAAAAGCGAGCAUGCCGGAAGCACGUAUUUUGUGUUUCCCAUGUGAAGUACGGAGACAACAAAGUGAGUAAAAGUCAAGUGACAACUUUUUGUUAUACGAAGAAACAGAAACAGCCUUUAUUCACUAGAACAUUACGUUGCACACUAUAGACCCCUUUCACAUGACGUAUGCAUACUUAAUUCGGCAGCUGCACGCACAGACCCGGUUCAAAACAAAGCCUGUUUACCUGGCCAAGGCGUGAUAUUGCAAGCACAUAUUACGCUAAAUAUGCCUUCUUGUUGUGCUGUCGGCUGUCAGAAUCGUAGUAAAGCAGAUGAUAUGGCAGCUGUGAGAGCGACCAGGUGGAACUUGCUUUGUUACCGCGGCUAAACAUUUGGUUUACUUAAUACUGAUUUCCACGUUCUCCGGAGCAGUCGUUACGUUGAUAUUACAGUUCCUGCUGAUAUACCGGAAAUGCCCUGAGCCCAUUAGCAGGACAGUGCAGUAUGUCAAAGUAGUGCCUGAUAACGCAUUGAAGGAUUACUUUAAUACCCAACAUGCCGAACCAGGCCAGCAGCAACAGGACAGCACAUCAUCUGCUGCAUCCAAACAGCAAGAGGCUGUGUCCAGCAGGCAGCAGGAGGUGGGUGUCAGCAGCGGCAGCCCCAAACAACAGCUGCCACCGCCUUCUCAAAGCGAACCCAUUGAUUCGGCCAAAGCCGAGACGUGCAGUUUCCUAAACGCUAUCUUUCUGUUCUUGUUCAGGGAACUCCGAGACACCCCAGUCAUCAGACACUGGCUCACCCAUUAAAUUAAAGUGGAAUGUGGAGGAGCUCCUGCACCGGGUCUGCGCGUGCAUACCUUGUGUUAGUAAACACUCCAAGGGGUCUAUACAUCGCCCUGUUAAGUUAUAUUAAUUUGAAAGAAUCGAGUUUUGGACUUUACGGUAGUUUGUAGCGUUGUUAUCGUAGUUAGGCUAACGGUAGCUAGCGCUAACCAGGUUGAUUCACUCGGUUGAUUAGCCUCUGAAGGCACUCUGUACUAUUUAGACAUAUAUGGGAUUAGCUUGACAUUAGAAGGCUUUCACUGUCAUUUGCAAACAGCAUUUGCACAAAAAUUAUUUUGUCCCGGGCAUUUUGAUCCAUAUAAGCGGUUGAUAAGUAACGUUAUCCAUGAUCACUACAACGUUAACUGGUUUCCACUGUAUAAUAACUUGUUGAAGUCAUCUUGUGCACGCGAUAGUGCUCACUAAAAUGUGCCAUUGUCCUGCUAGAAGACCAAAACAACUGAGUCACCAUACAUAUUUUUGUAUAAUUUUGUUUGACUUAUUACGACAUAAUUUUUCUCUUGCAGAUGCAUAUUUCAUGGCAGCACACCCAAAAUUGAACGCUGCAAGACAUGCUGCAAACAAUUCCACUGUCCGCUGUGCCUAAAGUUUAAACCUGCCAAACUGUCCAAGCUGCAGAGCCACUUGGAGGCACACAAAAAAGGUGGCAUUUUAUUUAAAGAAACCUUUGCCAGUCAAUUAAUCCCGGAGUGUGGAAUGAGAAGACUGGCUUAGACAUACAGGGAUUUCCACGACAGCCCUAUGAGCAGGACUGUGGCAUCUUCAUGCUGAUGUAUGCCCUUUACACAGUUCUGGACGCUCCAUAUGAUUUCACCAUAGCUGACAUGCCAACCCUGCGAAAAUGGUGGUGUGUCAUGCUCAUUGAAAACUUUGAUCUUGGAAGCCAUGGUAAAAUGUUUGCCCAUUGGACACACAUGUCAAAAGCCCUUCUGGCAGGUGAGGUGCCACCAGUUUUUAGACUGAAGCAAAAACUGGAUGACAUGACUGAGGCUGAGGAGAGGAAGAAAAUGUGCCACCAGGUGGAGACAACGGAACCAGCUCACCAGGUGGAGACAACGGAAGAAGAGACCAGUAUGGUGGGCCAAGUUGUGGCCCACUGCAAACAAGCAGCGGAAUGGGUGCAGGGGAACCUACAACUGUUUACAGCCAGGAUGGAGAUGCCAGAAAUUUGAAACAUGGACAGCAGAUCUAUUGAGGAGGCUCAACAGCAACUGGCAAACUUGUUUGAUGCCACCCAGGACAUUGAUGAUGAUGAGAAAGAAUUCAUUCUGGAGCCCUUCAAGUUUUUAUUUUGCAACAUUGAGGAUAUGUUUGUCUUCUGUGAAGAGGUGAUGGAUAACCGACGCAACAGGUUGCAGGUUUGCAAGGAAGGGUCCUAAAAGUGGAGGUCUGCAGCCAGACUGUCUUGUGCAUCCUUGUUCUUUAUGCUGCCUCCCCAGCAGACUUCAGCAUAAAACAGGACACCUGCUACCACAGACUGAUAAAACAUCUGCAGCAUCUUACUGGCAGAUGUCUAUUGAUCGAAGUCUUCUGAGGAAAAAAAGUCGGCUCUGGCCCUUUUUGUAGAUCAAAUCUGCAUUUUUAGACCAGUCUAAUUCAUUGUCAAGGUGGACACCUAAAUAUUUAUAUAAUGUCACCACCUCCAUGUCAACACCACAAGUGUUCACUGGAUGAAGAGGGGUUUUGAAUCUGCGGAAAUCUAUGAUCAUUUCCUUUGUCUUUGAGGCGUUGAGUAGCAGGCAGUUUUUGAGACUCCAGUCACUGAAGGCACUUAUCAGAUCUCUGUAUUCAGCUUCAUGUCCAUUUUGUUUGUUUGUUUGUUUGUUUAUUAUUCUUCAAUCAUAGCACAUACAAAGAAAAAAAAAAGACAAUUCAUUACGACAAUUUGGCUCUGAAAUUAGCUAGAUCGAAAGGGUUUUGGCUGAAGUUAAGACUUAUUAUGCCAAACCCUAUUAAACAAUUAGACACAAUUAAAAGGAAAAAAAGAAAAAAAAACAAAAAUGGCACACUUGCUUAACAAUGUUAGUCCUACAAUAUACAGAGCAUACAGAGGAAAAAUGUAACCAAAAAAAGAA